rnacentral:rRNA from 1 species
UACGUAGGGGGCAAGCGUUAUCCGGAUUUACUGGGUGUAAAGGGAGCGUAGACGGUGAUGCAAGCCAGAUGUGAAAGCCCGGGGCUCAACCCCGGGACUGCAUUUGGAACUGUAUAGCUAGAGUGUCGGAGAGGCAGGCGGAAUUCCUAGUGUAGCGGUGAAAUGCGUAGAUAUUAGGAGGAACACCAGUGGCGAAGGCGGCCUGCUGGACGAUGACUGACGUUGAGGCUCGAAAGCGUGGGGAGCAAACAGG